UCCUAAGUCAUCCAGAAUAUUAGAAAAGUUCUACUAGAAGUAUAUGUUCUCUGUUAUUCAAUAUUAAUUCCUAAGCUUGUGACUUGAGUAUACUUCCAUUCAUAAGCUUUUUUUUUACGUUUAGAGGAAAAUGAGGAGCAUUAUACUUUACGCAUAUACCUUUGUUUGUAUCUUAUAAGAUGGAAUUUUCCAUAUAUAUGGAUACAAAUGAACUUAACUCCGAAGAUGGUUACCUUCGAAAAGUAGUCUUAAAGGCCAUGGUGAAGAAGAAGAAUAAGAGAAAGUGUCCUCAGUACGUAGCUGUACGAGAAAGUACUGAAACCAGGGAAGAAAAUGGACAUGGGAGAGAUCUAUAAUUAAUCUUACAAUCGAUAUAUUGGUAGCAGUUCAGACAUGAUUUCUUACUUUGGAGCAAUGCGAAACACCAUCUACAAUUAAGGUCUUCGGAAUUAAAAGGAUUAAAAGUCUAUUCCUACUUCACCAACACCGUGAUACUAGAGACUUGAAAGCAAAUGUUAAGGGAAGACCAAGCUAUAGAAACCCUCAUCCGAAAGUUUCUAUAUUGGACAUAGUCCCUCUCGGCUAAGGCAUGGUAGAUUAAAAGAGAUGUGUGU